GUGACUGACUGACCCAGCUCUCUCAAUGUACUGCAGCUUCUAGCAGAGCAGGAGGUUUUGCUUGACAAUUAUCCAGAUUCUUGCAAGAGGCUAACUCUCCAAAAAGACUUGGGAAUGAUCACAGAAAUGAACAAUUGGAUGCUCAGUGCAAUCUCGGAGGACCUGGUCGUGGAGGUAACUGAACAACAGCCAAACACGGCCAGAAGAAGAAGGUUGUCCAAGGAAGUUAUAAAGGGAUGCAUGAACACCCUCAGUGGACUUGAAGCUAUAGAUUAUCUAAGAAGAUCCCAGGAGUCUGUGCCACAUAUCUGGUGCCACUGGAAACCUAUGGUGAUAUUUUUCCUGUCUUCACAACAGGUAUCCCCAUGCCUGGGUACUGCUCCUUAUACACAGAGGACCAGAGCAUACGUUGAGUAUUUCCAGGGAGGAAUCCCAACUUCAGGAAGACUUUAUAAACUCCACAGGGGAUUCCAAUGUUCCACCAAAGUGAGAACAGUGGCCAAGACCUGAGCUUCUCAAAGUGGAGCUCUCUGGCGUCAUCACUGGCAUCCCCUGGAAAAUGUAAAAAUGGCAAAUCCUCAGGCCCUGCCACAGACCCUAGAAACCCAGGAGUAUACACACACACCCUCCUGCCCACACACACACACACACACACACACACACACACACACACACGCACACACACACACACACAUACCACAUAUACUCAGAAUGCACAUGAAACGCAGGGAGUUUGCACUGUCUCAGAGUAUAAGGAGGAGCUGAGAAAAGCCUCAGGCAAUUUCUUCCCCCACACACAAACACACCACAUACAGUCAGGAUGCCCAUGAUAUGCAAGAGGUGGAACUGCCUCAGAGUAUAAGGAGGAGGACAAUGGAGAAGUAGUGAAAAGCAUCAGGCCUUCCAGCCACAAACUGAGAUGGAUGAAUGGGACCAGGCCCUCCAGCAGCUGCCAGGAGCCUUCAGCACACAAUCAUCUGCUGGUCAAGUACAAAGACUCACCACAAACUCACAGGACCUAGCAUCUCCCACAAGCCAACCCCUGCCAAGGCCUCCUGAAAUGCAUAUUGAGAGCUCACACACUACUGUCCCUAUCCUCAGACUCUGGUUCAGGUCACAGGCUCUGCUUUUCAUUUGGAUUAAUUGAAUGGCCUGUGUCCCCAUCUCAUACCUACCAGGUUCCAAAUUCUGCCUCACCAGUGUACUCAGGAAAAUUAGUUUAGACACCAGGACACCCUAGAGGUUCAGCCUCCUGUUUCUCAGGAAAGCUUAGGUAGACACUGUGGGGUCAAGAUGGUCAGCAGAGACCUGCACAUAAUGACUACCUAUUCUGCAAAUCCUUGUCUAUAUAACUGCCCAGGAUUCCAUGCAGUUCAAUUUGCUCGUAUGUUGUACUCUGUAGCUGAAGGGUGAGUUUCUCCAACUUUGUCAUCUGCUGCUCCUGCUCA